GGCUGGAUAGCUCAGUUGAAAGAGCACUGGAACGGAAAUCUGGAGGUCGCAGGUUCAAACCCUGCUCCAGUCA
rnacentral:tRNA from 1 species